rnacentral:tRNA from 1 species
GCGCCCGUAGCUCAGUUGGUAGAGCACCUGACUUUUAAUCAGGUUGUCACAGGUUCGAUCCCUGUCGGGCGUACCA